UACGAAGGGGGCUAGCGUUGUUCGGAAUUACUGGGCGUAAAGCGCACGUAGGCGGGCGAUUAAGUCAGGGGUGAAAUCCCGGAGCUCAACUCCGGAACUGCCUUUGAUACUGGUCGUCUAGAGAUCGGAAGAGGUGAGUGGAAUUCCCAGUGUAGAGGUGAAAUUCGUAGAUAUUGGGAGGAACACCAGUGGCGAAGGCGGCUCACUGGACCGGUACUGACGCUGAUGCGCGAAAGCGUGGGGAGCAAACGGG
rnacentral:rRNA from 1 species